rnacentral:ncRNA from 1 species
UAUUUGCAGGAGUCAUACAUUGGACAGUCACCCUAAACGCGAUUUAACUCCGGCAAGCUAACUGCAUUUCGCUGCUUGCCACACGGCGGGCAGCAAUCCCUUC